UGAAAAGUUGAAGCUCAGUAGGCUGGAGAUCCAUGAUAUACAGAAUAACAACAGAUGCUUCUGAGCAUUACUGCAGACUCAGCCCCAUAUAGUCACCUUAUAUACCGUACCUCUCCAGCACCAGAAGUUUGUCCCCCACGUCAGGACUUUUUGGCUCUAUUUGGGCCCCUCGGAACGAUGCCUUUGAUGGCUGCUGCCGGUCAGUGGCUCUCCUCCCCAUUCUGAGCACGUUGGGAAUCACUCAGUUAUGUGCAAGCCGGAGUACUUGCCUAGAUUUAACCCCUUCCAUGC